UACGGGGGGGGGCAAGCGUUGUUCGGAAUUACUGGGCGUAAAGGGCGUGUAGGCGGCGCGGUAAGUCGGGUGUGAAAUCUCGGAGCUUAACUCCGAAACUGCAUUCGAUACUGCCGUGCUUGAGGACUGGAGAGGAGACUGGAAUUCAUGGUGUAGCAGUGAAAUGCGUAGAGAUCAUGAGGAAGACCAGUGGCGAAGGCGGGUCUCUGGACAGUUCCUGACACUGAGGCACGAAGGCCAGGGGAGCAAACGGG
rnacentral:rRNA from 1 species